GACCAGGCUAUGAGAGCGCUUUUCAGAAGCGCUUUAGUAGCCUUUAUUACUAAAAAUUAAAAACCAAAACACGCGUUACUGUUUCUCAUUUCUCUCUUUCGUUUUCUGCAGAACCCUUCCGUCCACCACUGUUCUUCAUCCACAAACCCUCACUGCACGCGAAACCCUUCCGUCCACCACCAUCGGCAACCACCGUCGGCGUCCCUCCGUCGGCUUCUCCUCCGUCACUCGUUUUAUCCACCGCCGGCCAAAGAAGUAGCAGAACUCAGACAAAAAAUUGCAUUGAAAGAAUCUGUUCUUGAAGUUACGUACUUUGAAGUCUCUGGUUUCUACUUGUACAACGCCGAUUCAAACCUACCCAUCUCCCACAUCAAGUCUAUAACUCAGG